rnacentral:rRNA from 1 species
CCUACGGGGGGCAGCAGUGAGGAAUAUUGGUCAAUGGACGAGAGUCUGAACCAGCCAAGUAGCGUGAAGGAUGACUGCCCUAUGGGUUGUAAACUUCUUUUAUAAAGGAAUAAAACGAGGCACGUGUGCCUUUUUGCAUGUACUUUAUGAAUAAGGAUCGGCGAACUCCGUGCCAGCAGCCGCGGUAAUACGGAGGAUCCGAGCGUUAUCCGGAUUUGUUGGGUUUAAAGGGAGCGUAGAUGGGUUGUUAAGUCAGUUGUGAAAGUUUGCGGCUCAACCGUAAAAUUGCAAUUGAUACUGGCAGUCUUGAGUACAGUUGAGGUAGGCGGAAUUCGUGGUGUAGCGGUGAAAUGCUUAGAUAUAACGAAGAACCCCGAUUGCGAAGGCAGCUUACUAAACUGUGACUGACAUUGAUGCUCGAAAGUGUGGGUAUCAAACAGGAUUAGAUACCCGAGUAGUC